AGUGAACGCUGGCGGUAGGCCUAACACAUGCAAGUCGAACGGCAGCACAGUAAGAGCUUGCUCUUACGGGUGGCGAGUGGCGGACGGGUGAGGAAUACAUCGGAAUCUACUUUUUCGUGGGGGAUAACGUAGGGAAACUUACGCUAAUACCGCAUACGACCUACGGGUGAAAGCAGGGGAUCUUCGGACCUUGCGCGAUUGAAUGAGCCGAUGUCGGAUUAGCUAGUUGGCGGGGUAAAGGCCCACCAAGGCGACGAUCCGUAGCUGGUCUGAGAGGAUGAUCAGCCACACUGGAACUGAGACACGGUCCAGACUCCUACGGGAGGCAGCAGUGGGGAAUAUUGGACAAUGGGCGCAAGCCUGAUCCAGCCAUACCGCGUGGGUGAAGAAGGCCUUCGGGUUGUAAAGCCCUUUUGUUGGGAAAGAAAAGCAGCGGGUUAAUACCCCGCUGUUCUGACGGUACCCAAAGAAUAAGCACCGGCUAACUUCGCG
rnacentral:rRNA from 1 species